rnacentral:rRNA from 1 species
UACGAAGGGUGCAAGCGUUACUCGGAAUUACUGGGCGUAAAGCGUGCGUAGGUGGUUUUUUAAGUCCGUUGUGAAAGCCCUGGGCUCAACCUGGGAAUGGCAGUGGAUACUGGAAAGCUAGAGUGCGGUAGAGGGUAGUGGAAUUCCCGGUGUAGCAGUGAAAUGCGUAGAGAUCGGGAGGAACACCAGUGGCGAAGGCGGCGACCUGGUCCGAUACUGACGCUGAGGCGCGAAAGCGUGGGGAGCAAACAGG